rnacentral:misc_RNA from 1 species
GUUUUUUGCUUUUAUAUGAUAGGUUUUAACACAUGACCAAAAUCUAAGACAAAAGAUAUCAUAUUAGAGACAAGUGUCAUACCCAAUCAAUAAUAUUAAUGCCUUUGUCGCUAGUUUUUCUACUAGUAAUCAGUUCUAGAAGCACAAUACCAAAAGCAUAAAUAUCUGACUUUUUAUAUAUUUGUUUAUAUUCUUCUGGAUCUGCAUAAAC